UUCACGACAGGGAUGAAGAGUAGGACCGAGACAACACAAUGCGCAAUGUGUUGUCUCGUUUCUACUCUUCGUCCCUGUCGUGAA
rnacentral:pre_miRNA from 1 species